CCCUAUUUCUUCGCCUAACUUAUUCUUUUGCUCCCGAUUAUUUCUCCUUCACCCGACUUGCGCCGACUCCCCCAACCCGAUCACAUUCCCCAGCCGACGGCGCUACCUCGCGUCACUUCCUCUUCUUCCUCGCUGAUAAAGCGCAUCUGUCGAGCUUCUCUCCCAUCUUCCUCGCAUCUUCAUCACCACCGACAACCACAACCCGAGCGAGAGUGCCCUAGGUGUCGCCCUCUCCCAUCUCUCAGAUCUCUCGCUGUCGCACCUCUGCCCAUCGCCGUUCCGACCACCGGGCCAUGCUACUCCAACCCAUCUGUGCCCUAGCCUUGGUUGGACGCCACUGGCUCAGCCUCACAACCUACAGUGCAAUAAGAGCAGCAGCCAUCUCCCACAGCCGAGCUUCUUCCACCGAGUCUUGCUCCUCCAAUCCCUACAGUCAUUCAUUGUGGUUCCAUCGUUGAGUUUGGUGGACAGCAGCUUAAUCUAGCUCCAGUCAUACCUGGCAGCAGCAAACUUCUCCGGUCGUGAAUCAGUAGCGGUGCAUCUGAGGAUUUGGACGUUGAUUCGAGACGAGCAUCUCGACGUUAGAUUACUGGAUAUGAUCUUAUAUUUUUGAGGAGACAUGAUGUGUUUGGUCCGACGACCCUUAUAUCCGGAUAGAAGGUCCUGGUUGAGGCUGUCAGGAGGUUCCAAUCGCUAGUCCCUCACCUCAUGUGGAUAUGGUUUUCUACUUUCAGACUUUGUUUCCUUGUUUUGUGAUCUACAUACUUGUGAUGUGUAGAUAUUGUACUCGUGGAUUUUAUAUCGAGUUUUGGUCUACCACCCUUGUUUUCUGCUACGAUGGUUUUCCAUUGUGGGUUGGGUUUUCCUCGAGUAGUGGAGUAGGUUGUAUAAUAAACUGCGUGUUGUGAUGUGUUGUGUAGUCAGCUGGAGGCUGAUUUAUUAUAAACUGCAUGGAUUGUUUGUUUAUAUUAUUGUAUAUGUUCCGACCGUGUUGGUCGAGGAUUA